rnacentral:lncRNA from 1 species
UUCCCUCCAAUAUAAGUUUCCUUUGAUUCCUUUUUUGUAUUUUUUUCUUCAACUUUCUUUUUUAUUUUUGGGGGUUUUGUAAUUUUUUUGGGUGUUUUUCUAGUCAGGUGAUGCCACUUCCGGCGAUGGGUAGGCUGAUGGCUUCAAUUGGACUUGCCUGUUCCGAUGUUUUUCAAUGGGUUUUUGACGGAGGAAAGAUCUAUCCGACGGGUUUCGCCGUAAUGGUGACCGGCAGUGACAGUAAUGAAGUUUUACCGGCGAGUCUUAGCCGAAAUCAAUCACAGAGGUCGAAUUUUAGUUGAUGGUUUGCUAAUUUUGCAGAUCCGGUGAAGGACAAGCUUUGCCAUCGUUUUUUAUGGAUUUUCCGGCGAUGUGAUAGCGCCGGGUUGGUAUAUUUUGGCUAGAUUUCGCUAAAAAAAUUGUUUUACCGCCUGUUUACUCUUCUGAAAUGGAAAACAUUAGAAAACCUUCAUCUCAAAAACACCAAAAAGUGCAAAAAAAUGUGAAAAAGAGGAAGUCAAACGAAAAGGAAGAAUAUGUAUUUUCGAGUUGUGCAUAUGUAUUUAUGAUUAAUGCAUAUGUAUAUUUUCAGUUAUGCAUAUAUAUUUAUGAAUAAUACAUAUGUAUUACCAAAUUGUAUAUGUAUUUAUGACUAAUGCAUAUGUAUUUUU